GCGCACGUGGUAGGGGAGCGUUCUGUAGGCUGAUGAAGGUGCAUUGAGAAGUGUGCUGGAGGUAUCAGAAGUGCGAAUGCUGACAUGAGUAACGAUAAUGUGGGUGAAAAGCCCACACGCCGGAAGUCCCAGGUUUCCUGCACGACGUUAAUCGGAGCAGGGUGAGUCGGCCCCUAAGGCGAGGCUGAAGAGCGUAGUCGAUGGGAACCAGGUUAAUAUUCCUGGACUUUUUAUAAGUGGUGAAGUGGGGACGAAGAAGGCUAGGUGAGCCAGGCGUUGGUUGUCCUGGUACUUGCAUGUAGGGGGGAAGACUUGGCAAAUCCGGUUUUCCAUAACUCUGAGGUGCGAAGUGGUUCUGACCUUUUGGUACAGAGAAGUCAUUGAUGCCCGGCUUCCAGGAAAAGCUGCUAGCCAUAACUUAUAGAGAACCGUACCGCAAACCGACACAGGUGGACAGGUAGAGAAUACUAAGGCGCUUGAGAGAACUCGGGUGAAGGAACUAGGCAAAAUGGUACCGUAACUUCGGGAGAAGGUACGCCCUUUCUGGUGAUGGGAUUUACUUUCAGAGCUGGAGAGGGCCGCAGAGACCAGGUGGCUGCGACUGUUUAUUAAAAACACAGCACUCUGCAAAUUCGUAAGAAGACGUAUAGGGUGUGACGCCUGCCCGGUGCCGGAAGGUUAAUUGAUGGGGUUAUCUUCGGAGAAGCUCUUGAUCGAAGCCCCGGUAAACGGCGGCCGUAACUAUAACGGUCCUAAGGUAGCGAAAUUCCUUGUCGGGUAAGUUCCGACCUGCACGAAUGGCGUAACGAUGGCCACACUGUCUCCACCCGAGACUCAGUGAAAUUGAAAUCGCUGUGAAGAUGCAGUGUACCCGCGGCUAGACGGAAAGACCCCGUGAACCUUUACUAUAGUUUUGCACUGGACUUUGAUGAUGACUGUGUAGGAUAGGUGGGAGGCUGUGAAGUGAGGACGCUAGUUCUCAUGGAGCCGCCCUUGAAAUACCACCCUGUUGUUAUUGAGGUUCUAACUUGGUCCAGUAAUCCUGGAUGAGGACAGUGUAUGAUGGGUAGUUUGACUGGGGCGGUCUCCUCCCAAAGAGUAACGGAGGAGCACAAAGGUACCCUCGGUACGGUCGGACAUCGUACCAAGAGUGUAAAGGCAAAAGGGUGCUUGACUGCGAGAGUGACGGCUCGAGCAGGAACGAAAGUUGGUCUUAGUGAUCCGGUGGUUCUGAAUGGAAGGGCCAUCGCUCAACGGAUAAAAGGUACUCCGGGGAUAACAGGCUGAUACCGCCCAAGAGUUCAUAUCGACGGCGGUGUUUGGCACCUCGAUGUCGGCUCAUCACAUCCUGGGGCUGAAGCAGGUCCCAAGGGUAUGGCUGUUCGCCAUUUAAAGUGGUACGCGAGCUGGGUUUAGAACGUCGUGAGACAGUUCGGUCCCUAUCUGCCGUGGGCGUAGGAAAAUUGAGAGGAGCUGCUCCUAGUACGAGAGGACCGGAGUGGACGAACCUCUGGUGCACCGGUUGUCACGCCAGUGGCAUGGCCGGGUAGCUAAGUUCGGACGGGAUAACCGCUGAAAGCAUCUAAGCGGGAAGCCUCCCUCAAGAUGAGUUUUCCCAUGAAGCCCGUUGAAGACUACGACGUUGAUAGGCAAGGUGUGGAAGCGCAGUAAUGCGUGAAGCUAACUUGUACUAAUUGGCUGAUUG
rnacentral:rRNA from 1 species